AUACGUAAGGGGCAAGCGUUAUCCGGAUUCAUUGGGCGUAAAGCGCGCGCAGGCGGCCGCCUAAGCGGGACCUCUAAUCUUGGGGCUCAACCCCAAGCCGGGUUCCGAACUGGACGGCUCGGGUGCAGGAGAGGUAGGCGGAAUUCCCGGUGUAGCGGGGGAAUGCGCAGAUAUCGGGAAGAACACCGAUGGCGAAGGCAGCCUACUGGGCCGUUACCGACGCUGAGGCGCGAAAGCUGGGGGAGCGAACAGGAUUAGAUACCCUGGUAGUCCCAGCCGUAAACGAUGAUUGCUAGGUGUGGGGGUAAGCCUUACUUCCGUGCCGCAGCUAACGCAUUAAGCAAUCCGCCUGGGGAGUACGGCCGCAAGGCUAAAACUCAAAGGAAUUGACGGGG
rnacentral:rRNA from 1 species